CAGAUUUAUCAGAUUCCUUGAGGGAGGAUCAGCUCAUGAAAGCACUUAUGCCUUUUAUGAAAAGUGUUUCAUCAACCUCUUCUUUGACAUCUAUUUCUUCUUCUAUUUCUUCACCAACCUCUCCUUCUACUUCUUCUUCCUUUUCUUCCUACCCUUCUUACACUUACCAUCCUCCACUCUACUCUACUCAGCCCAAUUUGUACCCUGACUUUUGCUCGCCAUCCACAACCCACAUGUUUGAUCAAGUGAGUUUUGAGCAAACAGGUUCAAUAGGGCUUAACCAACUUACCCCAUCUCAAAUUCUUCAAAUCCAAACCCAAAUGGUCCUCCAGCAACAGCAGGAACACCAACAAAAGGAACAAAUUGCUGCUCUUGCUUCUCCAGCUUCACUGCAAAACCAAUAUCAGCACCAAAACCCUCGCACCCCGAAAUUC
rnacentral:lncRNA from 1 species